rnacentral:rRNA from 1 species
CCGACGGGGUGCAGCAGGCGCGAAAACNNNGCAAUGCGAGAAAUCGUGACCAGGGAACUCCAAGUGCGUAGGGUAAGACCUACGCUUUUCUUGACUCUUCAAAGGUCUUGGAAUAAGGGGUGGGUAAGGACGGUGCCAGCCGCCGCGGUAAUACCGGCGCCUCAAGUGGUAGUCGCUUUUAUUGGGCCUAAAACGUCCGUAGCCGGUCUGGUGCAUUCGUGGGUAAAUCAACCCGCUCAACGGGUUGAAUUCUGCGAGCACGGCCAGACUUGGGACCGGGAGAGGUGUGGGGUACUCUCAGGGUAGGGGUAAAAUCCUGUCAUCCUGAGAGGACCACCUGUUGCGAAGGCGCCACACUAGAACGGAUCCGACGGUCAGGGACGAAACCUAGGGGCACGAACCGGAUUAGAUACCCGGGUAGUCCUAGGUGUAAACGCUGUGGACUUGAUGUUGGGGGCGCUCCGAGCGNGNU